rnacentral:rRNA from 1 species
GACGUAGGGUGCAAGCGUUGUCCGGAUUUACUGGGCGUAAAGCGCGUGUAGGCGGUUCGGUAAGUCUGCUGUGAAAGUCCAGGGCUCAACCCUGGGAUGCCGGUGGAUACUGUCGGACUAGAGUACGGAAGAGGCGAGUGGAAUUCCCGGUGUAGCAGUGAAAUGCGUAGAUAUCAAGUGGAACACCAGUGGCGAAGGCGAAUCCCUGGAAAAUACCUGACACUGAGGCACGAAAGCUAGGGGAGCAAACAGG